rnacentral:rRNA from 1 species
GACGAACGCUGGCGGCGUGCUUAACACAUGCAAGUCGAACGAUGAUGCUGGAGCUUGCUCCGGUGGAUUAGUGGCGAACGGGUGAGUAACACGUGAGCAAUCUGCCCUUGACUCUGGGAUAACUGCGGGAAACUGUAGCUAAUACCGGAUACUUUCACUGGAAGGCAUCUUCUGGUGAAGAAAGAAUUUCGGUCAAGGAUGAGCUCGCGGCCUGUCAGCUUGUUGGUGAGGUAACGGCUCACCUAGGCGACGACGGGUAGCCGGCCUGAGAGGGUGACCGGCCACACUGGGACUGAGACACGGCCCAGACUCCUACGGGAGGCAGCAGUGGGGAAUAUUGCACAAUGGGCGCAAGCCUGAUGCAGCAACGCCGCGUGAGGGAUGAAGGCCUUCGGGUUGUAAACCUCUUUUAGCAGGGAAGAAGCGAAAGUGACGGUACCUGCAGAAAAAGCACCGGCUAACUACGUGCCAGCAGCCGCGGUAA